rnacentral:rRNA from 1 species
UGAACGGGGGGUGACUAAUUUAUGGAAGAACCUGCCGAUCGGAAGGGCAUAAAUGUACCAACCUGGAGCUAAUACCCGAUGCUCCCGACGGGGGAAAGAUUUAUCGUAACUGGAGGGGCCCGCGUCGGAUUCGCUGCCUGGUUUCCUAAUGGCCCACCUAGGCUGCCAUCUGCAUUUGGUCUGAGAGGAUGAUCAGGCACACUGGGACUGACAUACUGGCCGCACUUCUACUGCAUGCAUCACUGAGGAAUAUUGCACAAUGGGGCAAACCCUGAUACCGCAAUGCCGUCAGAGUAAAGAAGGCAUUCGGGUAGCCAAGCUCUUUCGGGAGAGACCAUGAAAAAAGUUGCCGCCAAAAAGGCCCCGGAUAGCCUCGAGCCAUCAACCGGCCUAAUUGCUAGGGGUCUUGCAUAGUUCGUAAUCACUGGACGAGCAGGGAGCAUUCGACGCUCGACAAGGAGGGGGUGAAACCCCCGGGGUCUAUCCGGAAAUUGCGCUUGACACUGUCGUGCUUCACGCCUGCGCACUAUGGCUCAAACCCCAGUGCAUACCGGAUAUCUGUCCAUCUUGCUAACAACACCAAGGGUGAAGGUUUCUCUCAGGACCGCUCUGACGCUGAGGCGCGAAAGCGUGUCGGAUCAUCCGGAUAGAUAGCCUGGUAGACCAC